GCGGCGUGCCUAACACAUGCAAGUCGUACGCGCUUCGCAAGAAGCGAGUGGCGGACGGGUGAGUACCACGUGGGUAUCUACCUUGCGGUGAGGGAUACCGGCGAGAAAUCGCCGACAAUCCCGCAUAGGCUCGGCAACGAGCAAAGCUCCUUUUCGGGAGCGCCACGAGAUGAGCCUGCGCCCGAUUAGCUAGCUGGUGGGGUAAUGGCCUACCGGGGCUGCGAUCGGUAGCUGGUCUGAGAGGAUGAUCAGCCACACUGGGAUUGAGAACGGCCCAGACUCCUACGGGGGGCAGCAGUGAGGAAUUUUCCGCAAUGGACGCAAGUCUGACGGAGCAACGCCGCGUGCAGGAAGACGGCCUUCGGGUUGUAAACUGCUUUUACCAGGGAAGAGAAUGGACGGUACCUGGUGAAUAAGCCCCGGCUAACUACGUGCCAGCAGCCGCGGUAAUACGUAGGGGGCGAGCGUUGUCCGGAAUUAUUGGGCGUAAAGCGCACGCAGGCGGUUCGCUAAGUUCGAGGUGACAAUCACCGGCUUAACCGGUGAACGAUUUCGAAAACUGGCGGACUUGAGAACGAGAGAGGGACAUGGAACUCCGGGUGGAGCGGUGAAAUGCGUAGAGAUCCGGAAGAACACCAAUAGCGAAGGCAGUGUCCUGGCUCGUAUCUGACGCUGAGGUGCGAAAGCUAGGGGAGCGAACGGGAUUAGAUACCCCGGUAGUCCUAGCCGUAAACGAUGACCACUAGAUGUGGAAGGUAUCGACCCCUUCCGUGUCGUAGUUAACACGUUAAGUGGUCCGCCUGGGGAGUACGGUCGCAAGACUAAAACUCAAAGGAAUUGACGGGGACCCGCACAAGCAGCGGAGCGUGUGGUUUAAUUCGAUGCGACGCGAAGAACCUUACCAGGGUUUGACAUGUAGUCGCACCACCCUGAAAAGGGUGUUCCUUCGGGACGGCUACACAGGUGCUGCAUGGCUGUCGUCAGCUCGUGCCGUGAGGUGUUGGGUUAAGUCCCGCAACGAGCGCAACCCUUAUUGUUAGUUAAUUUCACUAACGAGACUGCCCCGAUCAACGGGGAGGAAGGUGGGGAUGACGUCAAGUCAGCACGGCCCUUACAUCCUGGGCAACACACACGCUACAAUGGCUGGUACAGAGGGCCGCUAACCCGCGAGGGGGUGCCAAUCUCACAAAACCGGUCUCAGUUCGGAUUGUAGGCUGCAACCCGCCUGCAUGAAGCUGGAGUUGCUAGUAACCGUGGGUCAGCACACCACGGUGAAUACGUUCCCGGGUCUUGUACACACCGCCCGUCACACCACGAAAGUCGGCAACACCUGAAGCCGCUGGGCUAACUCCUUGUGAGAGGCAGGCGUCGAGGGUGGGGUC
rnacentral:rRNA from 1 species